UUGACUCACGCGGGAAUCUUACCGGGUCCGGACACACUGAGGAUUGACAGGUUCCGAGAGUUUUUGCUUCGGCAAUGCUCUCUUAAAUAUGAUAGUCCUUUCAUGAUUAUGUGAUAGGUGGUGCAUGGCCGUUCUUAGUUCGUGGAGUGAUCUGUCUGCUUAAUUGCGUUUCACUAAAGGCGUCAUAUCUGUUUUGUUGCGUGUUUGACCCCUCUUCGGAGCGCGUGUCUUCACGCACAAUUACUUUGGCGUCUGAAAGCAACGAACGUGACCGUAACCUCUUGUUGCCUUCUCUUCUCCUCGGAGAAUGCUGUUUGUUUUUGCAGGCAGUAUAUGGAGGCUUUUUUACUCAACAACUAGAGGGACCGCUGUUUCUUUCUUUAAACCAGAGGAAGGAUACGGCAAUAACAGGUCUGUGAUGCCCUUAGAUGUUCCGGGCUGCACACGUGAUACAUUGAUUACUUCAGUGAGUAUCUACGUUUUACUGCGUGGCAUUGCAAUGCAUAUUUCUUCGGAAGUGUGUUUUUGUUUGCCGCCUCAACCUGCUUCGAAAGCAUGCGGGUAACCAAUUAGAAGUAGUGAUUUCCUUUUUUAUAAGCACACUAAUAUGGGGCAUCAUCACCCGGCAUGCCUUGUUGUAUGUUUUGUGUGUGGUGUUUGCUUUUCCAUGUGCUUUUGUCAAUUCAUAGUGGGGAUAGACCAUUGUUAAUUGUUGGUCUCGGUCUUAACUAGGAAUGCCUUGUACGAGUUUUUGGUUCAA
rnacentral:rRNA from 1 species